AGCGAACGCUGGCGGCGUGCCUAACACAUGCAAGUCGAACGUGAAAGGGAGCAAUCCUGAGUAAAGUGGCGUACGGGUGAGUAACGCGUAGGUAAUCUACCCCAGAGUCUGGAAUAACCUGCCGAAAGGCGGGCUAAUACUGGAUAGAGCGAUGGAAUCCGUAAUUGGGUUUUUCGGGAAAGGGAGGAAGCAAUUCCCUUUGCUCUGGGAUGAGCCUGCGUCUCAUUAGCUAGUUGGUGAGGUAAUAGCUCACCAAGGCAUUGAUGGGUAGCUGGUCUGAGAGGAUGAUCAGCCACACUGGAACUGAAACACGGUCCAGACUCCUACGGGAGGCAGCAGUGGGGAAUCUUGCGCAAUGGACGAAAGUCUGACGCAGCCACGCCGCGUGAGUGAAGAAGGCCUUCGGGUUGUAAAGCUCUGUCGCCCGGGACGAAAAUCCUAUGAGUGAAUAGCUCAUGGGACUGACGGUACCGGGAGAGGAAGCACCGGCUAACUCCGUGCCAGCCGCCGCCGUAA
rnacentral:rRNA from 1 species